UGCGUGCUCACUGCUCUAUCUGUCAGAUUCCGGCUCCGAUUCGGUCCCGGUCACGUUUUCUUCUUCUAAUUGUGUUCCCAUCUCUCACUUUCUCUCUCAUGUGUUCUUCAUCUCUCAAAGGUAUGAAAUGUUAUCUUGGGGUUUUCUUCUGGGGGAAGAGAAUGACAUAGAGCAUUUUUGGUGAGCUAGGAAGACAGAUCAAAGAGGCUCUAAGUUUGUCAAAGGUUUGGAUUAUCUAUAUCGAUAUUUUGGUAGCCACCCCUUUCAAAUUGGUCAUGCAAAGUCAAAAAGAGAUGAAUACUGCAGGGCUUUUGCGUAACCUAUUUGUAAUAUUCUGUGGUACUGAUUAAGAGUUGAUGUGCUUUGAUCUAUUUAAUUGAUUUCGUCAUGUUUCA
rnacentral:precursor_RNA from 1 species